UAUCUCCAAAAAUAAACAAAAUCAAGAAAAUGGAAAAAUCACAUGAAAAUGUUGAGGCAUUUGGAUGGGCAGCUAGAGAUACUUCUGGGGUACUUUCUCCUUUCGACUUCUCAAGAAGGGUGACUGGUGAAAAAGAUGUGCAAUUCAAAGUUAUGUAUUGUGGAAUUUGUCAUUCUGAUCUUCAUCAACUCAAGAAUGAAUGGAGCA